rnacentral:lncRNA from 1 species
GAGGGGUCGUCGCGGCUGUACAGUGGGGUGAACGGGGUGCCGGCGCGUGCGUCCAUGGGUGCAGUUCGCCGGCGCCGGCGCGCGCGGGGCGUAGGAGGCGGAGAGGAGAGAGUGCGGCGCGAGCGCUCGAGUGUGGCACGCGCGGAAGCAGGCGCCCCAAAUACACCACGCGAGAUAGCGAAUCCGACCACGCGCUCAACUUCUUAUAGCCCGCGCGGUUAUUGCGCGCGCUAAAAUGGCCUGUUUAGCGCUGGUGUUGGAGAUGCUUUCAUUAGCAUCAAUUGCAAGCUCUCUCGCCACAAUUCAUAUAACCAAGAAAAAGACAAAAAGGGCCACAUUCCCCUCGAACUCCACGAAUACUCGCCCCCGAUCAAGAAUCUCACCAAACUAGGACUCUACAAGCUCGCGAGGUAGUAGAAAAAAAAAAGGCAUGGCACGCAACCUGGCGCCAGGAGGCGAGUACGUUGGCCUUGACGGCGCACCCUGGCGGCCCGUAGUCAUAGAGCCCCGCGACGCCUCCGUAGAUCUUGAAGGACGGCACGUAGAAGAGGCGCCGCUCGAGCGUGUUCGCCACCACCACGCGGAACGCCUCCCGGUUACCUGCCAUGGCUGCCAGCUUCCGGGUGGUUGAGGUGGUGGCGCCAGCUGCAGCAGCGGCUAAGGUUUGCGGUGGGUGAGGUUUUGUUGCGAUGGCGCGAGAGGAGGACGAGAGGAGGCGGAGGAGCAUGGAUAGAUGGGCAGUGCGGGGUUGCAGAUGCGACGCGGGCGGCGAGAGGCCGACGGUCGGGACCCGCUAGCCAGCGUGUGGUGCCGGAUGCCACAAACGAUAGGCUUGGAAAAUCGUUGGGCAGUGCUAGGCGUAAGAGCAUGGCUAGCACACUCGUAUAAUGCCCUAACACACUCGUAUAAUGCCCUGAUCUAUAAAAUAACCGUUAAAAUAGAGGCGAAGCGAAAAAAGUUGUCCGACCAUACCCCUUAAACGCAUUUGGUCCGUAAAAGAAAUUAAAAGGCAUGGCAAAAGUUCGUCAUCAACCUUCAGAUUCACGGGGUGGAAGGCCGACCCGAGGGAAAUUUCCGCACGACCGUUCCACGCUCCCCUCCUCCGCAGCCGUUGCCCCACUCACUGCGUGUUCCGUACAUUCUUUCCCGUCAUUCUUCGGCGUCAUGGAAGCCUUUCAGCCGGCGGAUCUCGUCAACGUGGAGGUUGCGCACGCGCAAUCCCUUCCAGCGGAUCUCGUCGCCCGCCAAUGUCGCCCCCGCCGUUGCCCUAGUCACCAACGCGUCAGCCCGCAAGCGGCAAGGCAACGUUGUCGUGCAAGGCGGCAUUCCGGCUGGCCCAGCCAGAAGGGAAGUCGCCCCGGGCACCGCAGCUGCUGCACGAUCUGCCUCGGCCGCCAGCAGGGAAGAUGAGCAAGGUUUUCGGGCGUGAAGCGGAAGAAGGUUCCUUCGAAGAAGCCUUCUCCCACUCCAUCUGCCCCGACGAGACAUUCCCCGACGGUGCCUUUCUACGGCGCUGCUUCUACCGCAUGCGAGGUGUUCGAUGAAAGGGCCGGAAGGUAUGCAUCUUCACUCACUUAUUUUUCCUUUGAUUUUUCGCCAAUGUGGUAGGUCGUGAUGUCCUUUCACUCAAUGUAGUGGUGGUUCGAACAAUGUUUAUGCCGAGUUCGUGAACUUGUUGGCCACCAACACAGUCAACAUCGAUCAAGCCCCGAUCGCUGGUUUCGAUUCCAGUGAAUUGGAGGGUGGCGUUGAUGACCACGGUGGUGAAGAUGAGGUUGAGGAGGUAGAUGCGGGGACGUACCAGCAAUCGGGUGUUUCCCAAACUGCCAAAAGCGUGAGAUCGAAGAACUACACGAUCUUGGAAGAUCAAAUCUUGAUCAAGGCUUGGAGUGCGCUGUCUACGGAUCCUUGCACGGCUAUGUCCCAAACCGCCAAGACGUAUUGGCAAAGAAUUGAAGAUCAAUACUUCCACUUCAUGGACAAGUAUCCCAACAGGACAGAAUCUUUCGGUCACUCCAAGGUCAUUGGGAUGUGAUCAAGUCGGCUUAUAGCCGUUGGGCAGCUUGCUUGGAACAAGUUCACAAUGCUCCUCCAAGUGGAACCAUCGAAUCCGACUAUGUGAGUUGGUUCAUGUCAAAUCGUUCCAUCAAUUUGCAUAAUAUUAAAUGGUUCCAUCAGUUUGACUUUGUAUUAAUUGUGUAGGAAAAAGUUGCCCAACAACGGUACAAAGACAUGGAUGCUUCCCAAGGCCAAAAAAAAAAUAUAAACUAGAGCAUUAUUGGGAAUUGCUCAAAAACUGCGACAAGUGGGUGUUGAUUGACAAAGAAUCCCCAUCGAAGAGAGAUUCAUUUACGGACAUGGAUGAAGAUGAAGAUGAGGAUGGCCCAAGAAAUUUGAACAAGCCCGAUGGUGACAAAAAGACAAAGGAGAAGAUCAAAAGGGAACACAAAGCAUCAACCUUGCGAGACAAGAUAGAUUCCGUGUUGCAAUCAAAUGAUGUAUUACUAGCGAAGUCUUUGGAGGCAAAGAUAGAGUUGACCGAGAAGAAGGCAUGAGAGAAGCAAGAGAGGUGGAAAUUGCUCAAGGAAGUCGAGGAGAGAAAAGCACGUGUCGCUGAGAACAAAACCAUGCCCAACCUCCUUGCCGAAGAGAAUAGGAUCAUGACUUUGAACCGCAAUGACAUGGACGACAUCAGCAAAGAAUGGCAUGAUAUGACAAGGAGAGAAAUUUUGAAGAGGAGGAUGCUUGCGUGUUACAAUGGCAGUGAUGAUUUCGGUGCCGGAGUAGGGACAAGUGUCGGAGUAGGAACAAGUGUAGGCGAUGGAUUCGGGGGAGUCGAUGGAUUCGGGACCGCUAUGACCUCAAUGGUGCACACUAAAGAACGACCUGGAUGCAUGAAGUCCUUUUGCGUUUGUCUUUUAAAUUAUGCUUUCAUUUCACGCGGGGACUAUGUUUUAUUGUUGAAAUUCGAACUCAUUUGCGAGAAUCGCUGUCAAAUUCCAACUAUGUUCUAUUUGGAGGUUUUCCGGUUUGCGAGUCAACGCGGUGGCGCCCGAGCAGACCCCGCAUUGACGACCCGUAUAAUAGCAUCUUGUGCGAAUAUCCUUUUAUAUGGGUCCGUUUUGGGGGGGUAUGCCUCUUCCCACACCCGCGUCGGCCCGCAAAAACCAUUUUUCGCGAAGUGUAAACGACUUUUCCGGGUCAGCAUUAUACGGGUCUCCUAGAGAUGCUCUAAGGGAAACUCCAACGCCCCGUGUCCGCAUAAGUCCUUUUGGGAUAAACGAACACAUUCAUGCACCUAGCGCGCAUGGGCAUCUUCAUUUUUUUUGUUAUGCGUGUCCGUUUUACCCCAUUUUUAGAUAAAAAUUGAUCUAGAUUUGCAUUCAAAGCGGACAUAGCUGGACACUUUUUGGCCAUUCCUCGUCUCAAUGCGUCCGCUACUCAGCCGAACUGGCCCACCUAUCAUAAACUCACACACAAACCAUUUUUUCUCUCUCCCCACCCACCAACCCCACCUCCACCCACGGAGGCCCGGCAGCGUGCCGUCGGAACAUAGCUCGCCGCACUACUGCAGUAGAACACCGGAGCAGGGCACAUGCACGGGACGGGCCUGUCGAGCUGGUGUCACUAUGGGACGUGUUGGUGGCGUUGCGGACACGCUAGGGCGGGUGCUCGCAGGAAAGAACGAGUGCGGGACGAUGUAUGGGGUGGUUGUUGGGGAAUGUUGCAUGGGAAACAAAAAAAAUCCUACGCACACGAAGACCUAUGAUGGUGAUGUUCAUCUACAAGAGGGAGAUCAGAUCCACAUACCCUUGUAGAUAGCUAAGCGGGAAGCGUUAAGAAACGUGGUUGAUGUAGUGGAACAGCUUCGUUAUUCAAAUCACCGUCGUCCCACGAUCCGUCCCGAUCUAGCACCGAACGGACGACACCUCCGCGUUCAGCACACGUACAGCUCGUUGACGAUCUCCGCCUUCUUGAUCCAGCAAGAGAGAUGGGGAAGUAGAUGAGUUCUCCGGCAGCGUGACGGCGCGCCAGUGAUGGUGAUGAUCUAUUCCUGUAGGGCUCCGCCCAAGCUCCGCAGAAAUCCGAUCUAGAGGAAGAACUAUGAAGUAGAGGUUUAGGGUUGCACGUGGCAAAGUUGUGUCUCAAAAAACCUAAAACCUCUACUAUAUAUAGGAGGAGGGGAGGGGCUAGCCUUGAGGCUCAAGGGAGCUCCAAGGGCGUCGGUCGAAGGGAGGAGGAGGGACUCGUACUCCAAUUCGGUUUGGAAGGAGGAGUCCCUUCCUUCCUUCCCAAACCUUUUUUUUCUUUUCUCCUUUGAUUUUUUCCCUUGGCCGAAAUAGUCCUAUUGGGCUGGCCUCACCAACCCACCAAGGGCUGGUGCGCCACCCAUGGGCCUAUUAGGUUAUCUCCCGGGUGGGUGGCCCCUCCCGAUAAAAACCAGGAACCCAUUCGUCACUCCCGGUACACUGCCGGUAAUGCCCGAAAUCUUUUCGGAAGCCAAAUGAAACAAUCCUAUAUAUCAAUCUUUGUUUCCGGACCAUUCCGGAAACCCUCGUGACGUCCGUGAUCUCACCCGGGACUCCGAACAAAACUUCGGUCACCAGCACCUAUAACUCAACUAUACCGAAACGUCACCGAACCUUAAGUGUGCACACCCUGCGGGUUCGAGAACUAUGCAGACAUGACCUGAGACACUCCCCGGUCAAUAUCCAAUAGCGGGACCUUGAUGUCCAUAUUGGAUCCUACAUAUUCUACGUAGAUCUUAUCGGUUGAACCUCUGUGCCAAGGAUUCAUAUAAUCCCGUAUACCAUUCCCUUUGUCCUUCAGUAUGUUACUUGCCCGAGAUUUGAUCGUCGGUAUCCCUAUACCUAUUUCAAUCUCGUUUCUGGCAAGUCUCUUUACUCGUUCCGUAAUACAAGAUCCCGUGACUAACACUUUAGUCACAUUGCUUGCAAGGCUUAUAUGUGAUGUUGUAUUACCGAGUGGGCCCCGAGAUA